rnacentral:misc_RNA from 1 species
GAUGAAGAACGUAGCGAAAUGCGAUACGUAACGUGAAUUGCAGAAUUCAGUGAAUCAUCGAAUCUUUGAACGCACAUUGCGCCUGCCAGCACUCUGGCAGGCAUGCCUGUUCGAGCGUCAUUUCAACCAUCAAGCCCUAGGCUUGCGUUGGAGCCCUGCGGCUGCCGCAGGCCCCUAAAAGCAGUGGCGGGCUCGCUAUCACACCGAGUGCAGUAGAUUACUCUUCGCUCAGGGCGUGUGGCGGGUUCCAGCCGUGAAACCCCCUACUUCUCAAGGUUGACCUCGGAUCAGGUAGGAAUACCCGCUGAACUUAAGCAUAUCAAUAAGCGGAGGA